rnacentral:tRNA from 1 species
CCUGGUGGCUCAGACGAUAAAGCGUCUGCCUACAAUGCGGGAGGCCCAGGUUCGAUCCCUGGGUCAGGA